rnacentral:rRNA from 1 species
AUGAUACCUCAGCCCGAUGAUAGAGUAACCAGCUUCACUGGGAAACACAUCUGGGAAGUUUUUGCACCUGGGCAAAUGAUGGAGGGUGAUGUAAUGGACUUCCUUAUUGAUGAUUGGAAGAGAGAUCCCGAUAGAAAUGUUGAUUUUGCGUCUGGCAAAAGGGUAUUGCUGAGUCCAUAUUUCAUCACGGUUGUGCUUGACUGUACGUUUUACGAUGCUGUAAAUAAACCGUUUAAUGUCGAGAGUGCAGCGAGAUAUUUCAAGAGCUAUGUCAAAGAAAAGGAAGACUUGCUCACUGCCGACCCUAUCUCCAGGAUGGUCCAAGUAAUGAAGGCUUUUUAUGGUGAUUCUCAGUACAGUGCGAGUGUCGGUGUCAAAACCGGUGGAUCUCGGGUAGGGGGUCCCGAACUAUGCGUCUAG